GUGCUGUGCUGCCUCAUAUCCUUCCCAAGCUUGUCCACCUUCCUCAUUCAUAAUGCCUUCAAUGCACGUGCUUUGGAGCUUUAGCAGAGGUUGCUGGACCUGGUCUUGAUGUCCCCCUUGGUACCAUCCUUCCUGCUUUACUCACUGCAAUGGGCUAUACUGAUAUGCCGCAAUGCUAUUUACUUGGAGGUUCAAAGUCUCGCCAAGAAAGCAGCAGAAACUGUUGUCACUGUAAUUGACGAGGAAGGCUUCAAUCAGACAAAGUUCUGCAUACUUAACUGGAUAUUUAUUCAAAACCAGUGAUCUAUAUCUUGUUGAUGGGGCUCUAAACCCUGAUUAUUUUACUAAGUGAUUCAGAUUCAGUCACCGUGACGGUUGCUUGGGAAGCAUUGUCUAGUGUGAUAAGUUCAGCUCCUAAAGAAGUUCUUCCUUCGUAUAUAAAGUUGGUUCGUGAUGUAUACAAAUAUAGAGGACCAGUUCUAAUACCUGGUUUUUGCCUCCGGAAAGCUCUUCAACCUGUGCUUCCUAUUUUCCUCUAGGGUCUUAUAAGUGGAUCUGCUGAAUUAAGAGAGCAAGCAGCUUUGGGCCUUGGAGAGUUAAUUGAAGUGACAAGUGAGCAAGCAUUAAAGGAGUUUGUCAUUCCAAUCACAGGUGAACUAUGCCCUUUAUUAGUGUGUCAACUAUCAAACAGUCCUCUACUUGUCUGAACCUUUGGGUCACCAGUGUAAGGCCAUUCUAGAUUGCUUGGGCAAGUUCAAAGUGCAAUUCUCUCAACUUUGAGCAUCAUAAUAUGGAAGGGUGGGUUGGCCCUAAAUCCUUUUCUUCCCCAGCUUCAAACAACAUUUGUUAAGUGUUUGCAGGAUAUUACAUGGACUGUUCGAUCAAGUGCUGCUCUUGCCCUUGGUAAACUAAGUGCACUCACAACUAGGAUUGAUCCUUUGGUUGGUGAUCUUCUAUCUGCUUUACAGUUUUGGAAUUCGUGAGGCUAUUUUGACUGCUUUGAAAGGAGUGAUCAAACAUGCUGCCAAAAGUAUUGCUGAUGCUCUUUAUUAUAACCCUUCAUUUACGCCGAGCAUACUGCAAACGCUUGGUGUUGCUACAGAGAUCUUCAAUCUUUGGUUCCAUAUGCUACAACAAACCAAAAAAAGUGGAGCUCGGGCUAAUUCUAAAAAUGGAGCAUGAGAAGAAGGUUUGCUGCUUGGGCUUGACAUCAUUGCUUGGGAUCAAAUGCCAGCAGCAGCCUUAGAGGGCAUUUUUAAGGCCAUUCUUGACCUCCCUGUAAGCACAAGGAGCAACUUUCUGAAGCUGCAAAGGCAGAGGAAGCUGAAGAUGAGGUUGAGAUGGAUGGAUUUCGAAGUGAUGAUGACGACGAUGAGUCUGAUAGAGAAAUGGCAGAUGAUGACGAGGAUGGAGAUGAAGCUGACAGCCUAAAGCUCCAAAAGUUGGCAGCAAAGGCGAGUGCUUUCCGCUCCAAUGAUGCUCCAAUGAUGACGUGGAUGAGUCAUCUGAUGAUGAUUUUUGUGAUGAUGAAGAGAUGCAAUCAGCCAUUGAUGAGGCGGAUCCUUUUGUUUUCUUUGUUGAUUCUGUCAAAGACAAAGGAUAUCAUUGGCUUUACAUUCAUUCUGUGGCUGAUGUGCUUGGAACCAAAGAUCUUCCUGUUGUUAUGACUAUCCUAAUAUCACGAACGCUGGGUCUUAUAAUUGGAUCUGCUGAAUUAUGAGAGAAAGCAGCUUUGGG